rnacentral:miRNA from 1 species
CUUAACGAUCAUCAGUUUGGCUGA